GGUUACUGCUAUCGGUGUUCGCCUAAGCCAUGCGAGUCAUAUGUUCGUAAGAACAUGGCGUACUGCUCAGUAACACGUGGAUAACCUGCCCUUGGGUCCGGCAUAACCCCGGGAAACUGGGGAUAAUUCCGGAUAACGCACAUAUGCUGGAAUGCUUUAUGCGUAAAAUGGAUUCGUCUGCCCAAGGAUGGGUCUGCGGCCUAUCAGGUAGUAGUGGGUGUAAUGUACCUACUAGCCUACGACGGGUACGGGUUGUGAGAGCAAGAGCCCGGAGAUGGAUUCUGAGACAUGAAUCCAGGCCCUACGGGGCGCAGCAGGCGCGAAAACUUUACAAUGCGGGAAACCGUGAUAAGGGGACACCGAGUGCCAGCAUCCUAUGCUGGCUGUCCGGGUGUGUAAAAUACACCUGUUAGCAAGGGCCGGGCAAGACCGGUGCCAGCCGCCGCGGUAACACCGGCGGCCCGAGUGGUGAUCGUGAUUAUUGGGUCUAAAGGGUCCGUAGCCGGUUUGGUCAGUCCUCCGGGAAAUCUGACGGCUUAACCGUUAGGCUUUCGGGGGAUACUGCCAGACUUGGAACCGGGAGAGGUAAGAGGUACUACAGGGGUAGGAGUGAAAUCUUGUAAUCCCUGUGGGACCACCUGUGGCGAAGGCGUCUUACCAGAACGGGUUCGACGGUGAGGGUCGAAAGCUGGGGGCACGAACCGGAUUAGAUACCCGGGUAGUCCCAGCCGUAAACGAUGCUCGCUAGGUGUCAGGCAUGGCGCGACCGUGUCUGGUGCCGCAGGGAAGCCGUGAAGCGAGCCACCUGGGAAGUACGGCCGCAAGGCUGAAACUUAA
rnacentral:rRNA from 1 species